GAUGAACGCUGGCGGCGUGCCUAAUACAUGCAAGUCGAGCGAACAGACGAGGAUCUUGCUCCUCUGACGUUAGCGGCGGACGGGUGAGUAACACGUGGAUAACCUACCUAUAAGACUGGGAUAACUUCGGGAAACCGGAGCUAAUACCGGAUAAUAUAUCGCACCGCAUGGUUCAAUAGUGAAAGACGGUUUUGCUGUCACUUAUAGAUGGAUCCGCGCCGCAUUAGCUAGUUGGUAAGGUAACGGCUUACCAAGGCAACGAUGAGUAGCCGACCUGAGAGGGUGAUCGGCCACACUGGAACUGAGACACGGUCCAGACUCCUACGGGAGGCAGCAGUAGGGAAUCUUCCGCAAUGGGCGAAAGCUUGACGGAGCAACGCCGCGUGAGUGAUGAAGGUCUUCGGAUCGUAAAACUCUGUUAUUAGGGAAGAAAAAAUGUGUAAGUAACUAUGCACGUCUUGACGGUACCUAAUGAGAAAGCCACGGCUAACUACGUG
rnacentral:rRNA from 1 species